AUUGAACGCUGGCGGCAUGCCUUACACAUGCAAGUCGAACGGUAACAGGUCUUCGGAUGCUGACGAGUGGCGAACGGGUGAGUAAUACAUCGGAACGUGCCUAGUAGUAGGGGAUAACUACUCGAAAGAGUGGCUAAUACCGCAUGAGAUCUACGGAUGAAAGCAGGGGAUCGCAAGACCUUGUGCUACUAGAGCGGUCGGUGGCAGAUUAGGUAGUUGGUGGGAUAAAAGCUUACCAAGCCGACGAUCUGUAGCUGGUCUGAGAGGACGAUCAGCCACACUGGGACUGAGACACGGCCCAGACUCCUACGGGAGGCAGCAGUGGGGAAUUUUGGACAAUGGGCGCAAGCCUGAUCCAGCAAUGCCGCGUGCAGGAUGAAGGCCUUCGGGUUGUAAACUGCUUUUGUACGGAACGAAAAGCCCUGGGUUAAUACCCUGGGGUCAUGACGGUACCGUAAGAAUAAGCACCGGCUAACUACGUGCCAGCCGCCGCCGUAAGAC
rnacentral:rRNA from 1 species